GUCCUUCUAGGGUGGGGAUACGCCCGGAAGAAACGUCCGGUAUUAAUACCGCAGUACGUCCGUACGGGGGAAAGCCGGGGAUCUUCGGACCUGGCGCUAGUAGAUGAGCCCGCGUGAGAUUAGCUUGUUGGUGGGGUAAUGGCCUACCAAGGCAACGAUCUCUAGCUGGUCUGAGAGGACGAUCAGCCACACUGGGACUGAGACACGGCCCAGACUCCUACGGGAGGCAGCAGUGGGGAAUAUUGGACAAUGGGCGAAAGCCUGAUCCAGCAAUGCCGCGUGUGUGAAGAAGGCCUGAGGGUUGUAAAGCACUUUCAAUCGUGAAGAAAAGUUGCAGGCUAAUACCCUGUGACCUUGACGUUAACGAUACAAGAAGCACCGGCUAACUCCGUG
rnacentral:rRNA from 1 species